rnacentral:lncRNA from 1 species
CCGAAUAUAAAUCACAACACAAAAGCAAUGUUACACAUUUCGGCAACAAAUAAAACAAAUUCUGGAAUAAACAUACAUAUCAGAUGUCUGUUCAUGGUGCGUGUUUGUGUGUGCAGCUGUAAAUGAAUCUGUCAAAACAAGGCCUCACAUAAAAAUAGCUAAACGAAUAAUGGCGCUAAGCUUCGAAUGUAAUCGCAAAAUUAUCAAUGGCAUGCAGCAUUAGGUAAGCAAACAAAAUGCAAUAAAUCGCUUCAUUUAAUUAACAAUCAAGGGCAGCAAAUAUACAGAGUUUGGAGUUGAGGUGCGGAAGAAACCACCAGGCAUAUAAUUGAUUCAGCCGUGACACAGUCGCAGACACAGUCUGGGACAAUCCCUCAGGACGCUACAGCGACUCCUCCACAUCACAGCAUCAAUGUCGUCAGUCAGCCAGCGCACACCCAUGACUGGCAGGCAGAAAAUUGAUUUUCCAAUAAGCAGGAGCAGGGAGAGCAGGAAGAGCGGGAAGUAGAAUCAGCAGGAGCUGCCAUCAGCGCACGUUAGAUUGUGUUAAUUUUACGCUAAAUCUGGUUUGGUCUCAGCCCAGCCGCAGCAGCCUCUUUGAUCAACUUUGACAUUGAUGAGUUAAUGAUGAUGAGACGAUGCCGCCAAACGUGGCACAAAUAACAACGACAGCAGCAGCAAACAAAAAAUCCAAACAGAUUGUCACCAGCAUCGUGAGGCAGAAAGACAGGCAUGGCAGGCCAGAGCGGCUCAAUGUCUGUUUUAUGGCCUAAGUUUUUGGCAACGGCUCUGUCAUUUGUCAUGAGCAAACACACACCCACACUCAUGCACGAGCGUCUGGCAAAAAUGAAGUCAAGUAGAGUAAAGUUUUUCAAUAAGUUUUCUCUUAUUUGGGCCUAUUAACAGUGCGAAAGAUGAGCCCACUAAUUCGUGCACUCAUUAACUUGGCCAAGGCCUCGCGACUGGUUAAUCAGCGCACAUGAAGUGGGAGUAGAACGGAGAAAGGGUUUCUGGAGUGGCCAGCAAGGAUUUGCUCAUAAUUAUGAUAAAUGUGGCAUGGACAGGACUUCUCCGGCCAGUCAAGCGUAAAUGUACAGUGGAGCCUCUUUCAUUGCGGAACGAAUUUGAUUAUUAAAAGCAGGCUAUUAUGGCCAUAUCUUAGUGAAGUUAUUUCCCAUUUCUUUAUGCUUUUUCCUCGAGUAACUUUCAAUUGUUUUCGCAACUUUUACCUCACUCACUUUGCUUCAGCUAUUCAACGGCUUGCGCUUCCCUCUCUCUCUCUCGCUCGGCGAUUUCAGUUGGUCUGUUUAUCAGAACCCCGCACCCACCCGAUAAACUCACAGAAAAGUAAUCUAGCUGGGGGCUACCUCUCUAAACAAAAAACUUGAAUCAAGCGAAACCGAGACCAAAUAACAAAAGCGUUUCGUCUGCCAAC